rnacentral:SRP_RNA from 1 species
GCCGGGUGUGGUGGUGCACACCUGUAGUCCCAGCUACUCAGGAGGCUGAGGCACGAGAAUUGCUUGAACCUGGGAGGUGGAGGUUGCAGUGAGCCGAGAUAGCACCACUACACUCUAGCCUGGGUGACAGAGCAAGACUGUGUCUCAA